rnacentral:rRNA from 1 species
CCCUUAGAUGUUCUGGGCUGCACGCGCGCUACACUGAAGCUAUCAACACGUUUUCCCUCCCUGAGAAGGGCGGGUAACCUUUUGAAUCAGCUUCGUGGUAGGGAUCGGGGCUUGCAAUUGUUCCCCGUGAACCAGGAAUUCCUAGUAGACGCGAGUCAUAAGCUCGCAUCGAUUAAGUCCCUGCCCUUUGUACACACCGCCCGUCGCUACUACCGAUUGAACGUUUUAGUGAGGCAUUUGGACCGACGCAUCUCAGUUUAACCGCUGGUUUGUGUUGGAAAGACUUCCAAACUUGAGCAUUUAGAGGAAGUAAAAGUCGUAACA